rnacentral:rRNA from 1 species
GGUAGCCGGCCUGAGAGGGCGACCGGCCACACUGGGACUGAGACACGGCCCAGACUCCUACGGGAGGCAGCAGUGGGGAAUAUUGGGCAAUGGANGNAACNCUGACCCAGCGACGCCGCGUGNGGGAUGAAGGCCUUCGGGUUGUAAACCNCUUUCAGCAGGGAAGAAGCGAAAGUGACGGUACCUGCAGAAGAAGCACCGGCUAACUAUGUGCCAGCAGCCGCGGUAAUACAUAGGGUGCAAGCGUUGUCCGGAAUUAUUGGGCGUAAAGAGCUCGUAGGUGGUUCGUCACGUCGGAUGUGAAACNCUGGGGCUYAACCCCAGRCCUGCAUUCGAUACGGGCGANCUNGAGURUGGUAGGGGA